AACGAACGCUGGCGGCAGGCCUAACACAUGCAAGUCGAGCGCGCCCUUCGGGGUGAGCGGCGGACGGGUGAGUAACGCGUGGGAACGUGCCCUUCUCUGCGGAAUAGCCUCGGGAAACUGAGAGUAAUACCGCAUACGCCCUUUGGGGGAAAGAUUUAUCGGAGAAGGAUCGGCCCGCGUUGGAUUAGGUAGUUGGUGGGGUAAUGGCCCACCAAGCCGACGAUCCAUAGCUGGUUUGAGAGGAUGAUCAGCCACACUGGGACUUAGACACGGCCCAGACUCCUACGGGAGGCAGCAGUGGGGAAUCUUAGACAAUGGGGGCAACCCUGAUCGAGCCAUGCCGCGUGAGUGAUGAAGGCCUUAGGGUUGUAAAGCUCUUUCAGCUGGGAAGAUAAUGACGGUACCAGCAGAAGAAGCCCCGGCUAACUCCGUG
rnacentral:rRNA from 1 species